rnacentral:rRNA from 1 species
UACAGCGACUGCGAAUGGCUCAUUAUAUAAGUUAUCGUUUAUUUGAUAGUACCUUACUACUUGGAUAACCGUGGUAAUUCUAGAGCUAAUACAUGCUAAAAAUCCCGACUUCGGAAGGGAUGUAUUUAUUAGAUUAAAAACCAAUGCCCUCUGGGCUCCUUGGUGAUUCAUGAUAACUCUUCGAAUCGCACGGCCUUGCGCCGGCGAUGGUUCAUUCAAAUUUCUUCCCUAUCAACUUUCGAUGUUUGGGUAUUGGCCAAACAUGGUUGCAACGGGUAACGGAGGGUUAGGGCUCGACCCCGGAGAAGGAGCCUGAGAAACGGCUACUACAUCCAAGGAAGGCAGCAGGCGCGCAAAUUACCCAAUCCCGAUUCGGGGAGGUAGUGACAAUAAAUACUGAUACAGGGCUCUUUUGGGUCUUGUAAUUGGAAUGAGUACAAUUUAAAUCCCUUAACGAGGAACAAUUGGAGGGCAAGUCUGGUGCCAGCAGCCGCGGUAAUUCCAGCUCCAAUAGCGUAUAUUAAAGUUGUUGUGGUUAAAAAGCUCGUAGUUGAACCUUGGGCCUGGCUGGCCGGUCCGCCUCACCGCGUGCACUGGUCCGGCCGGGCCUUUCCCUCUGUGGAACCCCAUGCCCUUCACUGGGCGUGGCGGGGAAACAGGACGUUUACUUUGAAAAAAUUAGAGUGCUCCAGGCAGGCCUAUGCUCGAAUACAUUAGCAUGGAAUAAUGAAAUAGGACGCGUGGUUCUAUUUUGUUGGUUUCUAGGACCGCCGUAAUGAUUAAUAGGGACAGUCGGGGGCAUCAGUAUUCAAUUGUCAGAGGUGAAAUUCUUGGAUUUAUUGAAGACUAACUACUGCGAAAGCAUUUGCCAAGGAUGUUUUCAUUAAUCAGGAACGAAAGUUAGGGGAUCGAAGACGAUCAGAUACCGUCGUAGUCUUAACCAUAAACUAUGCCGACUAGGGAUCGGACGAUGUUAUUUUUGACGCGUUCGGCACCUUUACGAGAAAUCAAAGUGCUGGCUCCAGGGGGAGUAUGGUCGCAGGCUGAAACUAAGAGUGACGAGGCACCACCAGGGUGG